rnacentral:rRNA from 1 species
AACGAACGCUGGCGGCGCGCUUAACACAUGCAAGUCGAACGAGAAGCUGUAGCAAUACAGUUGUACAGUGGCGAACGGGUGAGGAAUACAUGGGUAACCUACCCUCGAGUGGGGAAUAACCAGCCGAAAGGCUGGCUAAUACCGCGUACGCUUCCCAAUCUGCGGGUUGGGAAGGAAAGCUCUACCGUGGGUAGAGCGCUCAAGGACGGGCUCAUGUCCUAUCAGCUUGUUGGAGGGUAACGGCCUACCAAGGCAACGACGGGUAGCUGGUCUGAGAGGACGAUCAGCCACACUGGCACUGCGACACGGGCCAGACUCCUACGGGAGCAGCAGUGAGGAAUAUUGCGCAAUGGGCGACAGCCUGACGCAGCGACGCCG